rnacentral:rRNA from 1 species
GCGGACAGAUGGGAGCUUGCUCCCUGAUGUUAGCGGCGGACGGGUGAGUAACACGUGGGUAACCUGCCUGUAAGACUGGGAUAACUCCGGGAAACCGGGGCUAAUACCGGAUGCUUGUUUGAACCGCAUGGUUCAAACAUAAAAGGUGGCUUCGGCUACCACUUACAGAUGGACCCGCGGCGCAUUAGCUAGUUGGUGAGGUAAUGGCUCACCAAGGCAACGAUGCGUAGCCGACCUGAGAGGGUGAUCGGCCACACUGGGACUGAGACACGGCCCAGACUCCUACGGGAGGCAGCAGUAGGGAAUCUUCCGCAAUGGACGAAAGUCUGACGGAGCAACGCCGCGUGAGUGAUGAAGGUUUUCGGAUCGUAAAGCUCUGUUGUUAGGGAAGAACAAGUACCGUUCGAAUAGGGCGGUACCUUGACGGUACCUAACCAGAAAGCCACGGCUAACUACGUGCCAGCAGCCGCGGUAAUACGUAGGUGGCAAGCGUUGUCCGGAAUUAUUGGGCGUAAAGGGCUCGCAGGCGGUUCCUUAAGUCUGAUGUGAAAGCCCCCGGCUCAACCGGGGAGGGUCAUUGGAAACUGGGGAACUUGAGUGCAGAAGAGGAGAGUGGAAUUCCACGUGUAGCGGUGAAAUGCGUAGAGAUGUGGAGGAACACCAGUGGCGAAAGCGACUCUCUGGUCUGUAACUGACGCUUAGGAGCGAAAGCGUGGGGAGCGAACAGGAUUAGAUACCCGGGUAGUCCACGCCGUAAACAAUAAGUGCUAAGUGUUAGGGGGUUUCCGCCCCUUAGUGCUGCAGCUAACGCAUUAAGCACUCCGCCCGGGGGAGUACGGUCGCAAGACUGAAACUCAAAGGAAUUG